ensembl:snoRNA
UUGUUCAUUUAAGGCUUUUUCAGUGCUUUAAAUGUCAAACACUUAAGGGGUAUAUUAUUUCUCCUAAAAACCUGCGGCAUGGCUUAAAUCCGUGCUUCAGAUCCUGUCGGGUGGUACAAGU